rnacentral:rRNA from 1 species
GGAAUUGUUCGCAAUGGGCGCAAGCCUGACGCAGCAACGCCGCGUGGAGGACGAAGGCUUUCGAGUCGUAAACUCCUGUCCUCGGGGACGAAGGAAGUGACGGUACCCGGGGAGGAAGCCCCGGCUAACUCCGUGCCAGCAGCCGCGGUAAUACGGGGGGGGCGAGCGUUGUUCGGAAUUACUGGGCGUAAAGGGCGCGUAGGCGGCCCGAGAAGUUCCGGGUGAAAGUCCUCGGCUCAACCGGGGAAUGGCCUGGAAAACCAUGGGGCUGGAGUGCUGGAGAGGCCGGCGGAAUUCCUGGUGUAGCGGUGAAAUGCGUAGAUAUCAGGAGGAACACCCGAGGCGAAGGCGGCCGGCUGGACAGACACUGACGCUGAGGCGCGAAAGCUAGGGGAGCAAAC